rnacentral:tRNA from 1 species
UAACCUAGUGGUUAAGGCUAUGGAUUGCCAAUCCGGAGACGGCGGGUUCGAUUCCCGU